UGUAUGGGCAUUAUAUGUUUAAGAAGUGAGCGGGUACUAGUUACCAUUUCAGUAUCCUCUCACAUUUUUGCUUCACAUUUUUGCUACCGGCGACGGCGCUUGUGGUUCUGCUUCUUGUGGUUUGUUUUAUUACACUGAUUUCCUCGUUGACAUGUUUGGUUUUUGGGGGGGGUUGGAGGGUGUAGGGGGGUGUUUCCGGAGUAGGACUUUCUUCCUCUUUCUCUCCAUCUCUCGUUUUCCCCCUGUGCCUAUUUCUUUUUCCUAAUCCUUCUCACGUUCCAACUAGGAGUUUGUAUCAUUAAGCAGGCAAAUUUCCCUCUGGUGUCUUUUCUAUGAUAAUCUUUGUACUGACAGCUGAAUAUACCUUUUGAGAUACUUCCUUUGUGAGGGCGUUUUUCUUCUUCUUCUUCUUCUUCCUUGAAAGAGAGCAUAUUCUUUCUGUGUAUGUACUCGCACAUAUUUUAAUUGUUACAAAAAAUGAAUAUCAGCAUAAAAUCUUACAUUG
rnacentral:sRNA from 1 species